GACGAACGCUGGCGGCGUGCUUAACACAUGCAAGUCGAACGGUAAGGCCCUUCGGGGUACACGAGUGGCGAACGGGUGAGUAGCACGUGGGUGAUCUGCCCUGCACUUCGGGAUAAGCCUGGGAAACUGGGUCUAAUACCGGAUAGGACCAUUGCCUGCAUGGGUGGUGGUGGAAAGCUUUUGCGGUGUGGGAUGGGCCCGCGGCCUAUCAGCUUGUUGGUGGGGUGAUGGCCUACCAAGGCGACGACGGGUAGCCGGCCUGAGAGGGUGACCGGCCACACUGGGACUGAGAUACGGCCCAGGCUCCAACGGGGGGAGGCAGUGGGGAAUAUGGCACAAUGGGCACAAGCCUGAUGCAGCGACGCCACGUGAGGGAUGACGGCCUUCGGGUUGUAAACCGCUUUCAGCACCGACGAAGCGCAAGUGACGGUAGGUGCAGAAGAAGGACCGGCCAACUACGUGCCAGCAGCCGCCGUAA
rnacentral:rRNA from 1 species